AGGAAAGAAAACAAGCGAUAAUUGAUUCAUCACCUCCUCACUCCUGUUAGUCUAUUACUUAGAAACAGAACUCAAAUCCUACUAUUUUAGAAUCAAAAUCCUAACCCCAACCCUAGGUCAGUUUCUCAAUUUGACGACAUUGACUCGCGUUCUGCGUUCCUUUCUCUCGCCAUUGUCCUGGAAGGUUCUUUCGAGUGGAUGCGCCAGCUCCAUGGAGGCUUGCUCGGGCGGCGCGUGUGAGUUUCAUGGUUGAUUGCGGAGGCGCGUUGGUCUCUAAUCUCUCCCAGACAAACGCUUGGAUGGCGUUCAGAAUCAAAAUCAUGAAUAACCCUAAAUCCCUAAUCCCUAAUCCCAUCUGUAACACAAUUUUCCCAAUUUCACAACACUGAUGCGCGCAUUCUGCGUUUCUCUCUGCUCCGCCGAGUUCUGUUUUACUCCACCGUGUUCUUCUGCUCCGCCGUGUUCUUCUCCUCGCAUCGAGUUCUGCUUUGCUCCACCAUGUUCUUCUGCUCGCGCCGAGGAAUUUCAUGUAACUCAAUUAGAUUACAGAAAUGCUAUCUGCAGAUAAAUGUGAGGCAGAGUUGUUAAGCAAGAAAUAUGAGGAGAAGUACAAACAUUGUAGCAGAAAUAACAUCCAAAUUGAUUGUUGAAGAAGCUAAAUUUUGUGAUAUACAGGUAAUUAGAAAUUUGCAUUAUUAUUUGGCAAAUAGUAAAAGAAUUUUAGGGAAGAAUGAAUUGUUAUUAGCCUUGCUU